ACUACUUUUUUGGUGGAUUUGGCCAUGUUAAUUUCUGUCAGGAAAUGCUGAGAUGGCACGAGGGCAUGCCUGCAGUAUUGUGACCAGGUUAAGGAGACACUUUUAAAAGUGUGUUUACACUGGAAGUUACAUUUUUCACUUUGUAGCUUUCAACAAUGAACUUUUACCAGAUGGGAGGCUAAGACUAAUGGACAACACCUUGCCUAAAGAGUUUGUGGCUCAGAUGAUAUUUGAGAAGUAGCUAAGAAUC